rnacentral:lncRNA from 1 species
CGGAUUGCUAACUGGUGUGCGUGCUGCUUGGUGGUGAUUAUAGAUCAAUCUGACUCGGUGCCACUGGUCGUGAGUUUCUGAUAACUUUUGUAUCUGUUACCAUUUAGUCUCAUAUAAUUGCUGAUCUUUGUUGUCAAUGAUUAUGUCUUGAUAGAAUGCUUAGAACUUGUAAGCAGGUUCGGUUUGAUUGGAUUUUUUAUGUUUUGAAAGUCAGUAGCAGGUCUGUAAAUGUAACAGGAGGUGGAAAAAAUGGAUUUGGGUUAGGCCCAAACUGACAAACAAUGGUUUUGUUUGGUUUGGUUUCCCUUGUGGUUUUAGUCAAAACCGAACCAAAACCGAUCGUUGUAAUGUAAUUGGUUGAGCUGUGUCUUUGCACAUUCUCUUUAUCUGGGAUAUCUAAUUGGUUUGAAAGUUGCAUCCUUUUCAUUUCCCAGAUAUUAAACUGGUACAAUAUUGGCACCUUUUGUUUUAGUUACCCAAAUAUCCAAAUGGUUUCAAAGUUGCAUCCUGUUUUAUGUCUCCAUAUCUAACUUGUACAAAAUUUUCAUCCGUUCUCUUGUAUGUAGGUGCGUUCUGGUUGGUUUUGUUGUUCUUAUUUAAUAUUCUUUAUGUAAAUUAAAUAUAACAAUGUGAUGGAAUCAUGAAAUUAAAGAGAGAUGUUUACCCAGUAAAAUUCCCCAGAAUUUACUCUUUACAUAUAUAUAUAUAUAUAUAUAUAAUUUUUUUAAAAAAAUUUGGCCGAUUCUUUUAUAGAAGUAUGAGUGCAACUUGGGAAAGCGAGACAGACGUAGUGAAGGAAAGAACUCGGGAAAGCGACGCAGACGUUGUGAAGGAAAGAACUCAGGAAAGAAUGAGGAAGCAAAAGGUGCGUACAACUUGGUAGACAGAAUUAGUGAGAUGACACAGAUGAAAUUCUUGUCAGUAUAUUGUCUCUCUUGUCGCUAAAGGAAGCAGCUGCUACUAGUAUCCUUUCUAGACGUUGGCAGUAUGUGUGGAUGUCCACAAUGGUUCUCAACUUUAAUGCUAACUUUGAUAUUCAUAGAAAUCUCUGCCGCUUCAUAGCCCUCA